CUUUCUUCUUUCUUCUUUUUUUCUUUCUUCUUUCUUUCUUUCUUUUUUUGUAUUUUAGUAGAGAUUGAGUUUUGCCAUGUUUUCCAGGCUGAUCUCAAACUUCUGAUUACAAAAAAUCCACCUGCCUCAGCCUCCCAAAGCAUUGGAAUUACAGGCAUGAGCCAUCACAGCUGUCUACAAUAUACUUUUACAUUUAUGAUUUAGGUGAUGUGUUCUUCUCUUUCUGUCAGGUGCGGGAUGGUUAAAUAUCACUGGACCUAGCACCUAGGGAAUGUGACUCUUGUCUUUUGCAUCAGCCCCACUCGUUUUGAGAACUGUAACAUAUCACUGGGCCUAGCACCUAGCAGGUGUCUUUUCUCUUCUGCCAGAGUUCUGCCCAAAGACGAGAUUGUGACAUAUGACUGGUUCCAACAGCAUGGUGACAUGACUCUUUUGUCUUGACCCUGCCCUCAGAAGACAUUGUGAC
rnacentral:lncRNA from 10 species